rnacentral:rRNA from 1 species
UACAGAGGGUGCGAGCGUUGUUCGGAAUUAUUGGGCGUAAAGCGCGUGUAGGCGGCUUUGCAAGUCGGGUGUGAAAGCCCUCAGCUCAACUGAGGAAGUGCGCCCGAAACUGCAGAGCUUGAGUACCGGAGAGGGUGGCGGAAUUCCCCAAGUAGAGGUGAAAUUCGUAGAUAUGGGGAGGAAGACCGGUGGCGAAGGCGGCUCUCUGGACCACAACUGACGCUGAGGCGCGAAAGCGUGGGGAGCAAACAGG